GUUCGAAUCCUGCACGACCCACCAAUAUACAAGGUGGUAACUGGUAGAGAACGUGAAGGUUAACGUUGCUUUAGCAACGGCCCGAAGGGCGAGGCGAAGCCGAGUCAUCCUGCACGACCCACCA
rnacentral:sRNA from 3 species